UUAACAGAAACUCGCAAUUCUCAUGUACAUCGUUUGUCGCCCCACUAUAAAAUCCAGACAGGGCUUCCACUCUUCUUUCAAUUGCUUCCCCGCUCUUUCAAUUCACAGUUCCAUACUCGAUACAACUUCCAUGGCAACAGCUGCGCUGCUCAUCGAAGCCAACGCAUUAAUGAAAUUGAAGCAAAACACCUAUUACGCACUUUUCGUCCUCUUCCAUCAAAACCAGUCACAUUAACGUUAAGCAAUCAACGUUGCUUUGCUCCCAGAAUAUUUAAGAACCCUAAACCUCAAUGUUUCUUUCCCUCAGACUCUAAAUCAGGCCAUCCCUCUCAGUCACAGUUCCACGAUGUUCUUAAAGACAAUUGGCCAGCGGCAGCAAACCCUAAUUUCACAGUCGCCCUUAAUAAGUUAUGGGAAAAGUGUCACAAGGCAUUGAGGAAACCAGCAAUGGCUGCCGUGCUGUUGGGUUUGUUAGUCAUGUACAACCCCAAGUCAGCAGCGUUGGCUGCUCCGGUGGGUCGGGUCGGUGGAAGCUUGACACCCACUUUUACGACUUCGCACCAUCGAUCUAAAUAUUCUUCGACCACAAUCAAAACGUCCGACCACUACGAUGAUCCGAUCUGGGAGUUUGCAGUCUUAUGGUUCACUAUUUUCUGCUGUUACGCUGGAUUUUUUGCUUGGGUCAAACAAGUGUUGUCAAGCUCCAGCUUCAGGUUACUUCAUCGAACACGGGACGAGCAGUGCAAACGGACCUAAAGGAAGAUAUGUUUUGAGAGGUGGUUAUACCAAAGUUCUCUAGAGCAGCGGCACAGCAAUGCUUUGAUCAACUUGUGUUCAGAGAGAGGGUUAGAUAUGAUGAAGAGACCAUUGUCAAUGUGGACAAUAUAAAAACUCAUAGCACAACAAGUCAGAGAUCAACUAAUGAAUCUCACAAUGACAAUGUAGAGUGACUUGAAGAAAGUGAUGGAAGAGCUUGCAUCCAUUGAUCCCAGCAGACGAGUAUUCGGAAUAGAGGUACUGUGGAAUCCUCAGUUCUCUUCAAAUGCAGCAAGAAAAUAAAUUCAAUCACCUGAUUCUCAGGUGCCCAUUUUCUUAAGGCAUGUUGAUGUCAUUCUAGCCCGACCCCCAAUUGGCAACCAGCAAAUCCAGGAAGUCUCAAGCUGUUCGCACUGGCGGUGCUGCUUGAGUGGCAAUUAGACCAGCGAAUUGAAGAGGGUCCUGACUUUCUUGUUAUUUCGUAUUAUGAGAAAAAAAAAAUCUUACUAUAUAGUUUGAGAUGUUAUGCAGACAACUUUUGGACCAACUUGCAUGUGUGCUGUUAAUUCCAGGUUAUCUUUAGUUUGGAUCUUUGAUGGUUUGCUUGAGGAAUACCUUGAAAUCCGAUGCUAGAAAACCUACGUGAUACCAUGAUAGAAUUGGCACAUAUUGACUAAUAUUCUUGUUCAAUGGUUGCCUUAACACUAUCUAGCUUGUUGCUUGGACCCUAAAACUAGACUUUUGUUAGCGGGUUUGGACGUUUUGACUAUUACUCAUCUGGAAAACUUUUGUUACCUUCUUUAUAAAUUGGCUCAAUGUUGAUCUUUCUGCUAUUCUCGAGUUAUUAUCGAAACAUAAUGCUUCGCAAUACCCUCUCACAGAAGGUCGUUGCAACCUAACAAA